ACCAAACACGCACACACAUGAAAUAGCCAGCGCUGCUGUAAAAAAGUAAUUACGUGUUUAAUAGUCGACGUAAACGUAAAACUCCAUUUCAUUUCAAUCGGCCGCGCGCGGAAUAUUUCACGACUGGCCGACACGUCGACACCGCAUUACAUCACCGCGCGUCAACUGCACUCACUUGUACACAAUAAAACUCCACUGACAGACAUUGCGCGACACUGCGAGACAUAACUCGUCGACAUUAGGCGCAGCGCAAACACUCGGCUCAUUCCUAUUCUUCGACGUCAAAACACCAGACGUAAUUGCAGCCUUUGCAGCCUAGAACCAGACAAAUUCAGACAGUGUUCCCAGAAUAUUUAAUUUGCGAGCCACUUCAGUGAAAAAGCUGUGUAUAUUCGCAUAAUGUUUAUAAAGGUGAAGCUACGUUAUCCAUUUUAUUGGUUCAAUCAAUUUAUGAAAUCCACGCAAAUAACGAUUGAUUCGUUCACACGUCGGCUUCAAGGGUUUAAAUCAUCGCCGAUCUAACGACAGUCACAUGAGAGUCAUGAGACUGAACGCUCCAACGCCUCACGUUGAUGGACACAUCCCACAGGGCAGCUAUUUGCAGAACAUGUUCCUUGCAUGCCCUUCGAAGAGUUGCCAUUAAAAGGUCAACUAUCAAUCCUUUAAUUAUAAACAUAAUCAGACUCAACUUGGGCCUUUCUUGGAAUUAAUGAAAUCGUAGUUGAUUAGAAAAAUAUUCUUCUGUGUGCGGCCAGCCUAAUUCGCCGACACGUGAUGCCGAAUUGCAUAAAACCUGUCGACAACCAACUCAGCUGUCGCUUCAGAUACCUAGUUGUAUGAACUGACAAAUAUUAAAAUGACAAAAAUUAUGAACUAAAAGACGUUUGAUAACGUUCAUUGCAAUAAUGAACUAGAUAUUUUCGAAUUGAAAAUUUCUAUAAUCUAAAGUGCAAUAAAACGUACAAUUCUCAGUCUAUCCUAGCAACAAGUCAAAACUUGAGCAAAAAGAAAAAAAAGCUCGUCUAUUAUUUUCUUUCAGUCUUUGGCUCAACAAAAUCUAGUUCAAAUUCCUUUGUUUUUAUCUCCCGCUAUCUCUUUAAGCGAAAGUUGUAACAAAAGCGUUUUGUUAUUUCUGUUUAAGAGAUCUCGCGAGCGCUCGGCUCGGCGCUGUAAAUGGAGGCUUACAGCUCACAGUUCGAUUUCGAGGAACGCACACUAAUCCGCACGCGCCGCACGCACCGCACGCACCGCACGCACCGCAUCGCACGCGCCGUACGCAAGUUGCGUUAGGUGUGGUGCUUAUAUAGCAGACUAGAUGAGUGUGUUGUCUUUUUAUUCGACGAUAAGUUCAACUCGAAAGAGUAAGAUUUUAAAGUAAUUCAUAUCCGUAUUAAGUUUUUGGUAUCGAAGUGAUAAAACUCCUUACAUGUACAGAUUCGCUAUUAAUUUUGUAACUUGCCACAGCCUUAGCCUCUAUCCCUCAAAUAUGUCAUCAUCUGCAUGCAAUUAACUUCAACACAGUGAAGUUGGCAAAGACGCACGGUACGUCCGGCGCGCACUGUGGGGUGACCGAUCAGCUUUAAUAGAGGUUUACUGCAAAAUGUUUGAUUAC
rnacentral:lncRNA from 1 species